AGGCGUAGUCGAUGGACAACGGGUUGAUAUUCCCGUACCGGCGCUGACGCGCCCAUGCUGAACCUGGUUGUGCUAACCAUCUGAUCGGAUGUGUCCUUUCGGAGAUGUGUGUGGGAGGUCGGGAUCCCGGCUGGUAGUAGGCAU
rnacentral:rRNA from 1 species